AACAAGAGAAAAUAAUGGAGCCUGGAUAAAAAAAUAGUUAUUCCUAAUUGUGGAUUUUUUCAGUCAGGUAUACUUACAAGGUGACAAUAAAAUACAUAUGACAUUCUGAUUGAUCUGGAAAUACUUUUUAUGUUUUUGGGACAUGAACUACUUAGAGCCAGAUUCCUUAAGAAACUUCAUUGUUUCUGCAUAGCAUUAAUUCUUUCAUAGCAGUGUAUCUAGACCGGAGGCAUAGAAAUAUUUUAUAGAGUGCUGCUUCCUUUGUCCAUUUGCAUAUGAGUAAUAAUUACUUAGAUCGAAGUGAAAACUUCCUUUAAUGCCUGAAAAUGCUAUAUAUUCUAGUGUACUGAGUGGACCUAGAGAAUCUAAGAGUAGUUGCUGAGGGGCUUUCUGCAGGAAAUAGACUUUUGCAGAUACUGCUGCUUGUACUUCGCAUCAUCUUCUCCCAUUCAAGCACUUCUUGACCUAAGGUCAGAUGUUUAUAAGUCCUUUGAAACAGUUCUGCUCUACAUCAUAUAGCUUAUCCUCCAAAGUGGCAAGCUGCCAAGCAGAAUAUUCAGAGCUGUGGUAGGUGACAAAUAUGGGAAUUAUGCGAGUGCCUAUAUAAAAGAUUUUCAGAAAGCUGAGAUGAGACGUGUGCUUCCCAACUGAAUGGUAUGUGUUACCCAAGUCAGGAAGACUUUAAGAACAAGACUGGGCAGCUCCUGCACUUGGAUAUUCAAACAAUGGUUGCACAGGUCAUCACAAUGACUAUUUAAAUCAACCUUUUGUUAUAGACUGUAAGAAAGUAUAAGGGAAAAAAAUCUACUCUUUUCCUUCUGGGUUCUUUCCCAGUACUCAGGACCCCAGGUCACUGGACAAUGCUCUCUACUCUCCAAACCACAGGUGUGUUGGGCAACGAAAUCUGUAUUCAACCAGCAUGCUGCAAGAUAAAGAUUUAUUGUGUACAAACAAGCCAGUGGGUACGGGGCUGGUCUGACGUUGUUUAGAAGAGUGUAAAUGGCCUUUAAAUUGGUGCAAAGAAAAGAAAAAAGAAGACGACAAUGGAUUAAUCUCCUAAACUGAGGUGACUUUGCCCAGUCCAGUCUAGAAUUGCCCAUAAAAGAAUCAGAAUAAAACCACAGUGU
rnacentral:lncRNA from 1 species